CUAAGUUUGAUGGCGACCGGCGCACGGGUGAGUAACACGUAUCCAACCUGCCGAUGACUCGGGGAUAGCCUUUCGAAAGAAAGAUUAAUACCCGAUGGCAUAGUUCUUCCGCAUGGUGGAACUAUUAAAGAAUUUCGGUCAUCGAUGGGGAUGCGUUCCAUUAGGUUGUUGGCGGGGUAACGGCCCACCAAGCCUACGAUGGAUAGGGGUUCUGAGAGGAAGGUCCCCCACAUUGGAACUGAGACACGGUCCAAACUCCUACGGGAGGCAGCAUG
rnacentral:rRNA from 1 species